rnacentral:rRNA from 1 species
AGACGGAGGGUGCUAGCGUUGUUCGGAAUUACUGGGCGUAAAGCGUACGUAGGCGGUUCGUUAAGUUAGAUGUGAAAGCCCCGGGCUUAACCUGGGAACUGCGUUUAAAACUGGCGAACUCGAGUUGAGUAGAGGGGAGUGGAAUUUCAGGUGUAGCGGUGAAAUGCGUAGAGAUCUGAAGGAACACCAGUGGCGAAGGCGGCUCCCUGGACUCAAACUGACGCUGAGGUACGAAAGCGUGGGUAGCAAACGGGAUUAGAAACCCUAGUAGUCC